AAAUUUCUGGAAAGAAGCACAGAUAUUUCUACCUAUGGAUGGCCCCAUGAUCACCCUAUGGACACGGCAUGCCUCCGUACCAACAUUUCUACCUUAUUCUGCUCAAGUAGAAAAAAUUAAGCUAACAUUAUUAUACACUGCCCAUGGUUCAAUGAUUCAUGGAUCCCAUGUGCAAGAUAUCUAUUUACUUUCAAGAUUUAAAAUCUACUGCUGACAACAUAGAUUAUGUGCACGCGCGAGGGUUGAAGCUUGAUAUUUACAGUGAUGCUGGGUAUGCUCGUGAUCCAAUUUAUCAUACAAAAAACACUAAUCUGUUCUCAUUCUGUUGCACUAAACUCUGCAUACUUCUAUGUGAUAACUUGAGAAUAUUGUUUCUAUGACAUGUCCGGCUUGUUGCUGCUGCCGAGCAAAAUCGCAGGCUUCUUCGGUUAAACAAGAAAAUUAUGGAACCUUAUGUGAAGAAAAUUAUGGAUGAGAAUCGUGGCUGUAAGUAUGGUUGUGGAGCCAUGGGUGUCCAAAAGUUUUCCAUGCUCCUGAGUUUGUUCAAAAGCAUCUAAAACUCAAGCACCCUGACUUGGUCUCCGUGUUGACUUCGGGAGUUCAAGAUGAUAUCUACUGCCAAAAUUUCAAGAAUUAUGUAUCAGUGUAACCAGAUAGAUCAAAAAUUAUACUCUUGUUUAAAAUGUGUCAAAAUGCCCUAGGUGGAGUACCAUUUAUGCA